rnacentral:ncRNA from 12 species
GGUGUAGCCAAGUGGUAAGGCAUUCGCUUUUGGUGCGAAUAUCCAUAGGUUCGAAUCCUUUCACC